AAAUGGUAUACUCUUUGAUAGAUUCUUCAAUAGAUAUUAAUAUUUUAACUAUUGUUUUCCACAAUGGCACUUCAAAAAUAUGCUAUCCUUUUGUCCACUAAAUACCAUUUCCCAAAGCAAAAACAAACGACAAAUUCAUAACAAGGUGAAAAUGUCUAUAGCAAAUCUAGUCUUCCAUCCAAAGAGAAGUGGCAGCUUUUAUGAAACCAUAACCUUCUCCCUUUUCUUGAAGAAAGGAAAUUGCUCUAGUUCAGCAGGUGAAGAAAUGGAUACUCUCCCUUCUUAACUUACAGAGUUAACCAGCAAUAUUCAAAAAAGGGAGGCACUGACUGCUGACGAUGGUCAGUAUAAGCCUGUGUAGUCCCGUAGGCCUCUGGGAAUAAUUAGCUCAACAGUGGACUGUGAAACACACACUGCUUCCUUCCUGGUUGCUGUUUGUUCUGCUCUGAGCUCCAACCGCAGCCCAAUUGUUACCUAUGGAGGAGGACUGGGGUCAUGUUCUCAGGAAACUACCAUGGGAAUAUGCCAGUUGUGUAACUUUUAAAAUGAAAUAAUAAUGAUGUGCAGCUAUAAGUAAAGAUAUUCCGUGUCCAGAGUGAGCCAGUGAUGCCUAGCGAGUCUGAACAGAGAAGCGCCUGCCUAGCUUCGUUCAGAUCUCCCCGCUCCUCCCAGGCCCAGCCUCGCCUUGUCCACUGAUCUGUCUGCCUGAGCCCGAGCCCAAGCCAAG